AAUUAUUUGAGACAGUAUAAUUCACAGCUGGAUUUAUGUAACGGACUAUAUUUUACCUCGGUAGCAAAUCGGUUUGAAAGUAUAAAUCCCGUCUUUACCCGUGUUAACGGAGAGAAUGAUACAGGUCGGACCUCAAAGACCUUGUGAAGAGGCCGGUAGGACCUGUAAAUAAACUCUGAUUAAAAAAAAAGUUAACGGAGAGAAAGGGGCGUCAAACGAGAGUGCAGUGUAUCGGUACUAUAAGUAAAUAUGUAACUUGGAGAGAAUGACAUAAAUUAACUAUGGGUUGCUCUAGAAGACCGAUUCAGGAAAGGUAGAUGAGCGUGUGGCGCGUCUCGAGUACAAUGUGGACGGGGCGUACAUCCACGCGGCGCAACUCAUUCUAUACAUAGAUGGUGACGUCACUACGUUAUUGUGACGUUGAAUAAGACCGGGUUCAUGAAAAUCGCUUUAAAAUUGACGAAGUAAUGGCUGUUCAAAACGAUGCACCUCGUUUUCGGAUGAUUUCGAGUUGGAUACCUUGACGCCAUCGAAAAACGGCAUUAGCUAGUGCCAAAGACGAAAGAGACAAGGCGGCAGAGUAAGCGGGCAUACCUGAUAUACGAUACCCUCCACAUUUCACGGAAGCGCGGUGCAAACGUAGGGACACAAUGGCAGUGAGAUAUCCAUGUUAUCAUGGAAUGUACAUGGACUUAGCGAAUGUAAAAAAAUAUGGUGCUGUGUUUGUAAUUGUGUUAGGUUCUUCUGAUAUAUGUUUUUGUUUGAAUCAUGGACCAAUGCUUCGAAUAACAUUAAAAUCAAUGGCUAUCAAUCUUUUGAUUAUUUUAGAAAUUUUCAACACUAUUUCGACACUACUAUUUGGUAAAUACUGAAGAAUUAUUUUUAUCAAAUACUGCUAGUGCUGUGUAUAUAUGUGGAAGUUGUGUAUUGGAGGAAGAUUACCAUUAACGCGGUAGUGUCUUUGUUACAGAAGAGCUUAAUAGCAGAUCCAGUAAUAAAUGUGAUUUUAUUGUAUAUGACUGAAUAAACACAGUACUUGACGAUUUGACUAUAUACAAGAUCGCUCCUCUGUUAGGGCCUCUAUUGAUACAAUGCAUAAUAAUCACGGGAAUAAAUUGCUCAACUUAUGUAAAUCAACCACUUUACGCAUUGUCAAUGUUAGAAUAAGUGAUAGUUGUAAACAUACAUUCUUUUCAAGGAAUGGUUCAUCUGCCAUUGAUUACUUAUUGAGCCAUGAAAGUAACUUUCCAUUGUUAUAAAAUUUUACUGUUGGCACAUUUAACGAUAUGGAGUGAUGAUGCUCCGUUAUACUUUUCAUCAUUUUGUAAUAAUUGUUUAUCUAGUUACGAGACAUUCACUGAUGCUAAAUAUAAAUGGGACAUUUGGCGUAGAGAUGAAUUUUGUUCAGAAUUAUUUCGAAACUUCCCAUUUUCAAUGAAAUUGUUAGAAGUAUUGUUAAUUCGAGCCAGUUGACUUUUAACUCCAUUUUAGAUAAAUUCACAGCCACAUUUCGCAUUGAAGCGGAUGAGUUGUUCUCAAAAUCGUAUACCAGAGAUCAGCGAGUCACGAGGCUGAGGGAGAGGCAAGCAAUAGCCAAAUACCGCAUCAACAUUGUAGUUGCUUCUAUGGUAAUAGUUGAGUAGUUUGAAGAACCACAGCGACGUAAAAUAUGAUGGUCGGUCAAGCCUUGGAUUCAGAGACGAUCCCUCUACGGGCAAAACGAGACCCUUUUGCAUGAACUGCAUCUCGAGAACCUUGCCGAUUUUGAGGCUUAUUUGCGUCUCAAGCCAGAGUUGUUUCAAGAACAAUGUGCCUUCUGUGUGUCGUGCAAUCGUGGAAGAAUUCGAGGACGAAAUCUUCAGGACACCGUCAACCACUGAAGAAUGGCGUGACGUGGGAGCGGUGUUCAGAGAACGGCGGAACUAUCCACACUGCUUUGGAGCAAUCGACGGGAAGCAUGUGACCAUCAGGAAGCCGAAAAACAAUGGAUCCUUUUUUACAAUUAUAAGGACUUCUUUUCGAUCGUGUUGUCGACAGUGACAGACGCUUAGUUCAAGUUCUUGUAGGCGUAUGUUGGUUCACCUGGCUCCAACACAGACUGCUGUAUCUUUAACGAUUGCCAGCUGCCACAGGCCCAUGAACGCAAUAUAGUAGGUUUUUCAGAGCUGGAUUCUUUGCCUUAUGACAAUCUGAACAUGACCUACCUCUUUGUAGGUGACGACGCGUUGCCUCUUCGCACAUACAUGAUGAAACCCUACGCCUAUCGGUUUUUCAAUGUGGACGAACGUAUAUAUAACUAACGAAUAUCAAAAUAUAGCGCACAGGGUCGUCGAAAACGUCUUUGGCAUACUCGCAAAAAGGUUUCGCUACUUACUGGGUACAUGGUACAUUGGGCGUUGUUCCGGACACACAGUGCCGGCUCUUGCUCCACAACCUGAUGAGGAUGAGGUAUCAAAACCUUCAAAACGUUGAUGUUGACCAAGAGGAUGAUGACCAUCAACUGAUUCCGGGGGCUUCUAGAAACAAUGCCGUCAUGCAAGAAGUGGAGGUUAAGAAUGCCGAGUUCCGAGGUCAACAGCUGCGGCGAUUGAGCAGCGGGCAUAUCUCAAUCCAUAAUUUGCGAGCGAUGCGGAAAGUGUGCCAUGGUAGAUGCAUGCCAUCGACAGACUGGUUAUAGAAUGUUGAACUUGUGCUUGAAUUUGGGAACUAUGUGCGUUUUACAGGUGUAUACUAGUAUUAAAUGAU